GAUGAACGCUGGCGGCGUGCCUAAUACAUGCAAGUCGAGCGAACAGACGAGGAGCUUGCUCCUCUGACGUUAGCGGCGGACGGGUGAGUAACACGUGGAUAACCUACCUAUAAGACUGGGAUAACUUCGGGAAACCGGAGCUAAUACCGGAUAAUAUAUUGAACCGCAUGGUUCAAUAGUGAAAGACGGUUUUGCUGUCACUUAUAGAUGGAUCCGCGCCGCAUUAGCUAGUUGGUAAGGUAACGGCUUACCAAGGCAACGAUGCGUAGCCGACCUGAGAGGGUGAUCGGCCACACUGGAACUGAGACACGGUCCAGACUCCUACGGGAGGCAGCAGUAGGGAAUCUUCCGCAAUGGGCGAAAGCUUGACGGAGCAACGCCGCGUGAGUGAUGAAGGUCUUCGGAUCGUAAAACUCUGUUAUUAGGGACGAACAAAUGUGUAAGUAACUAUGCAUGUCUUGACGGUACCUAAUCAGAAAGCCACGGCUAACUACGUG
rnacentral:rRNA from 1 species